rnacentral:rRNA from 1 species
UACGAAGGGGGCUAGCGUUGCUCGGAAUCACUGGGCGUAAAGCGCACGUAGGCGGGUCGUUAAGUCAGGGGUGAAAUCCUGGAGCUCAACUCCAGAACUGCCCUUGAUACUGGCGAUCUCGAGUUCGGGAGAGGUGAGUGGAACUGCGAGUGUAGAGGUGAAAUUCGUAGAUAUUCGCAAGAACACCAGUGGCGAAGGCGGCUCACUGGACUGGUAUUGACGCUGAGGUGCGAAAGCGUGGGGAGCAAACAGGG